GUUCCGUAGGUGAACCUGCGGAAGGAUCAUUAUUGUAUAACCGAGGUGCGAGAGCUGUCGCUGACCCGAAAGGUCGUGCACGCCCGAGUGCCCUCACACACAUCCAUCUCACCCCUAUGUGCACCACCGCGUGGGUCCCCCUUUGGCUUGUUCGGAGGGGGGCUUACGUUUUCACACAAACUUUGUAUGCAGUGUAGAAUGUAUUUUUUGUUUUUGCGAUCACGCAAUCAAUACAACUUUCAACAACGGAUCUCUUGGCUCUC
rnacentral:misc_RNA from 1 species